UGAGUAUUUGGACCAUAUAGGUAUAUUUUUUUUCAAAUUACAUUAUAAAAGAAAGACGAAAGACACCAAAGGGACAGUCAAACUCAUAAAUCUAAAACAAACUGACAACGCCAUGGCUAAAAAUGAAAAAGACAAACAGAAAAACAAUAGUACACAUGACACAACAUAGAAAACUAAAGAAUAAACAACACGAACCCAACAAAAACUAAGGGUGAUCUCAGGUGCUCCGGAAGGGUAUAUAAUGUUUCAAUAAUACAAACACUUUAUCUAAAAACAUGACAAUUUUUUAAUUUUAUAAUCCAAAAACUUCGUAAAAAUUGAAUAUUGAUGCCAUAGUUAGUUUUCAUCGCUAGUUACAUUCGUGCAUGUAGGCUUGGUUGACAUUCCAGUGGCGGAUCCAGCCAUUUUAAAAAGGGGGUUCCCAACCCAGAGUAAAGGGGGGUUCCAACUAUAUGCUCCCAUUCAAAUGCAUUGAUCAGCCAAAAAAAAAGGGGGGUCCAACCCCGGACAACCCCCCCCCCCCUGGAUCCGCCACUGUAUUCAGUUCCACACGGUAUCAUAGCUUUUUAGCAUUUGCAAGAAAUUUGUGCACGAUCCUUUUCAUUUACACAUUUUGUUUGCGAGUGAAAAACAAGCCUUUCUUGCAGCUGCAUACAGUGAUACCGAGCUCUUUGGCCAUUCCGAUGUCUACGGUGUUUUUAAGAAGCUCUACAUCUCAAAUAUCGUAAAAUGACUGCAAUACACCAUCUUCACAACACAACUUAAAUAAACUAAUUGAAUAUUACUUUCCAGUGAAGUGACUUCUUAUAUAAAUGUAACAGUUCAUUAAGAAAUUUUUGGAAUUUAAUUUUUUAGUCGACCUAUUGCCAUUUACACGUAAUAACAAAUCGGUAAUGACCAUCGGUAAUGACCAUCGGUAUAAAAUGUUUUUACUAUAAAUUUGACAAUUAAGUAAAAUUAACUAUGUGAAACUUCUUAUUUUUAUUUAGCUUAUCUUUUUAUUAUAAUAUAAUAAUAAAAUUACCUACAUGAUAGCGUCUUUUUAAUGAACGGUCAUACCAUAUGCAGAGAUUAGAAGUAUUUAAAAAAGUAAACUGUAACAGAGUGUUAAUUACCCCGACCAUACGCGUACGGUCGGACCAUAUGAGUAUAUACCCAUAUGGUCAUGACCAUACGCGUAUGGUCCAAAUACUUAUAUGGUCCGGAACAUAUAUAGCAGUUUGACAAACACCAAUUUUGAUCAUUGAGAAGCUUAAUAUUCCCUUUACAAUGCAACGUAAUUAAAACAUUUAGCUGAUUUUACAGAGUUAUCUCCCUUUAAUGUUAGGUACCACAUUAAGAGCAAUAACUCCAAUAGCACAUGUAGCAUGUACA
rnacentral:lncRNA from 1 species